GUAUAGCCCUGAUCGAAACGGCAUCCUUUUGUGCUGUCAUUGCAAGGAACGAAGCAAUCUUUUAGACAGCACAAAAGAUACAGUGUAGAGCAGGAAUUAGC
rnacentral:sRNA from 1 species